GAUGAAGAACGCAGCGAAAUGCGAUAAGUAAUGUGAAUUGCAGAAUUCAGUGAAUCAUCGAAUCUUUGAACGCACAUUGCGCCCCUUGGUAUCCCGAGGGGCAUGCCUGUUCGAGCGUCAUUUCACCACUCAAGCCUGGCUUGGUGUUGGGCGACGUCCUCUUUGGGGACGCGCCUCGAAACGCUCGGCGGCGUGGCACCGGCUUUAAGCGUAGCAGAAUCUUUCGCUUUGGAAGUCGGGGCCCCGUCUGCCGGAAGACCUGCUCGCAAGGUUGACCUCGGAUCAGGCAGGGAUACCCGCUGAACUUAAGCAUAUCAAUAAGCGGAAGA
rnacentral:misc_RNA from 1 species